rnacentral:rRNA from 1 species
UACGUAGGGUGCAAGCGUUGUCCGGAAUUAUUGGGCGUAAAGAGCUCGUAGGCGGUCUGUCGCGUCGGCUGUGAAAACUCGGGGCUCAACCCCGAGCCUGCAGUCGAUACGGGCAGACUAGAGUGCGGUAGGGGAGACUGGAAUUCCUGGUGUAGCGGUGAAAUGCGCAGAUAUCAGGAGGAACACCGGUGGCGAAGGCGGGUCUCUGGGCCGUAACUGGCGCUGAGGAGCGAAAGCGUGGGGAGCAAACAGG